ACGAACGCUGGCGGCGCGCCUAACACAUGCAAGUCGAACGGAGCUUAGAGAGCUUGCUUUUUAAGCUUAGUGGCGAACGGGUGAGUAACGCGUGAGUAACCUGCCCUAGAGUGGGGGACAACAGUUGGAAACGACUGCUAAUACCGCAUAAGCCCACGGUACCGCAUGGCACUGAGGGAAAAGGAUUUAUUCGCUUUAGGAUGGACUCGCGUCCAAUUAGCUAGUUGGUGAGGUAACGGCCCACCAAGGCGACGAUUGGUAGCCGGACUGAGAGGUUGAACGGCCACAUUGGGACUGAGACACGGCCCAGACUCCUACGGGAGGCAGCAGUGGGGGAUAUUGCACAAUGGGGGAAACCCUGAUGCAGCGACGCCGCGUGGAGGAAGAAGGUUUUCGGAUUGUAAACUCCUGUCGUUAGGGACGAUAAUGACGGUACCUAACAAGAAAGCACCGGCUAACUACGUGCCAGCAGCCGCGGUAAAACGUAGGGUGCAAGCGUUGUCCGGAAUUACUGGGUGUAAAGGGAGCGCAGGCGGGAAGACAAGUUGGAAGUGAAAACCAUGGGCUCAACCCAUGAAUUGCUUUCAAAACUGUUUUUCUUGAGUAGUGCAGAGGUAGAUGGAAUUCCCGGUGUAGCGGUGGAAUGCGUAGAUAUCGGGAGGAACACCAGUGGCGAAGGCGGUCUACUGGGCACCAACUGACGCUGAGGCUCGAAAGCAUGGGUAGCAAACAGGAUUAGAUACCCUGGUAGUCCAUGCCGUAAACGAUGAUUACUAGGUGUUGGGGGAUUGACCCCCUCAGUGCCGCAGUUAACACAAUAAGUAAUCCACCUGGGGAGUACGACCGCAAGGUUGAAACUCAAAGGAAUUGACGGGGGCCCGCACAAGCAGUGGAGUAUGUGGUUUAAUUCGAAGCAACGCGAAGAACCUUACCAGGUCUUGACAUCCGAUGCAUAACACAGAGAUGUGUGAAAUCCUUCGGGACAUCGAGACAGGUGGUGCAUGGUUGUCGUCAGCUCGUGUCGUGAGAUGUUGGGUUAAGUCCCGCAACGAGCGCAACCCUUAUUGCCAGUUACUACGUUAAGAGGACUCUGGCGAGACUGCCGUUGACAAAACGGAGGAAGGUGGGGAUGACGUCAAAUCAUCAUGCCCCUUAUGAGCAGGGCUACACACGUGCUACAAUGGCGUAAACAAAGGGAAGCGACCCUGCGAAGGCAAGCAAAUCCCAAAAAUAACGUCCCAGUUCGGACUGCAGGCUGCAACCCGCCUGCACGAAGCUGGAAUCGCUAGUAAUCGCAGAUCAGAAUGCUGCGGUGAAUACGUUCCCGGGUCUUGUACACACCGCCCGUCACACCAUGGGAGCUGGAAAUGCCCGAAGUCGGUGACCUAACCGUAAGGAAGGAGCCGCCGAAGGUGGAGCCAGUAACUGGGGUG
rnacentral:rRNA from 1 species